rnacentral:sRNA from 1 species
AACCGAAUCACCGUGGAGCGGUGAACGGGGGAACCAACGUUGGGGUUAAUUUCUAAGGAAUAGGGUAUCUCGACCCGCACCCGGCAGCUAACCUCGUAGGGCAAUCGAGAGGAU